rnacentral:rRNA from 1 species
CACGGGGGGAGCAAGCGUUGUUCGGAAUCACUGGGCGUAAAGGGUGCGUAGGCGGUCGGGUAAGUCUGAUGUGAAAUCCCUCGGCUCAACCAAGGAAGUGCAUCCGAAACUGCCGAGCUUGAGUACUUAAGAGGAUCGCGGAAUUCCCGGUGUAGAGGUGAAAUUCGUAGAUAUCGGGAGGAACACCAGUGGCGAAGGCGGCGAUCUGGGAAGAUACUGACGCUGAGGUGCGAAAGCGUGGGGAGCGAACAGG